ACGAGCGGCGGAUGGGUGAGUAACACGUGGGCAACCUGCCUGUAAGUUUGGGAUAACUCGUGGAAACGCGUGCUAAUACCAGAUAAAGCUUAUGGUUACCUAAUCAUAAGGUAAAAGACGGCUCCGGCUGUCGCUUACAGAUGGGCCCGUGGCGCAUUAGCUAGUUGGUGAGAUAAGAGCUUACCAAGGCAACGAUGCGUAGCCGACCUGAGAGGGUGAUCGGCCACACUGGGACUGAGACACGGCCCAGACUCCUACGGGAGGCAGCAGUAGGGAAUCUUCCGCAAUGGACGCAAGUCUGACGGAGCAACGCCGCGUGAGUGAUGAAGGUCUUCGGAUCGUAAAACUCUGUUGUUAGGGAAGAACAAGUACCGUUCAAAUAGGGCGGUACCUUGACGGUACCUAACCAGAAAGCCCCGGCUAACUACGUGCCAGCAGCCGCGGUAAUACGUAGGGGGCAAGCGUUGUCCGGAAUUAUUGGGCGUAAAGGGCGCGCAGGCGGUCCUAAAAGUCUGAUGUGAAAUCUCGUGGCUUAACCACGAAAGGUCAUUGGAAACUGGAGGACUUGAGUACAGAAGAGGAGAGUGGAAUUCCACGUGUAGCGGUGAAAUGCGUAGAUAUGUGGAGGAACACCAGUGGCGAAGGCGACUCUCUGGUCUGUGACUGACGCUGAGGUGCAAAAGCGUGGGUAGCGAACAGGAUUAGAUACCCUGGUAGUCCACGCCGUAAACGAUGAGUGCUAGGUGUCAAGGGGUUUCCGCCCCUUGGUGCUGGAGUUAACGCAUUAAGCACUCCGCCUGGGGAUUACGGCCGCAAGGCUGAAACUCAAAAGAAUUGACGGGGGCCCGCACAAGCGGUGGAGCAUGUGGUUUAAUUCGAAGCUACGCGAAGAACCUUUACCAGGUCUUGACAUCCUCUGACAACCCUAGAGAUAGGGCUUUCCCUUCGGGGACAGAGUGACAGGUGGUGCAUGGUUGUCGUCAGCUCGUGUCGUGAGAUGUUGGGUUAAGUCCCGUAACGAGCGGAACCCUUAAUCUUAGUUGCCAGCAUUAAGUUGGGCACUCUAGGAUGACUGCCGGUGACAAACCGGAGGAAGGUGGGGACGACGUCAAAUCAUCAUGCCCCUUAUGACCUGGGCUACACACGUGCUACAAUGGAUGGAACAAAGGGCAGCGAAACCGCGAGGUGGAGCUAAUCCCAUAAAACCAUUCCCAGUUCGGAUUGUAGGCUGCAAUUCGCCUACAUGAAGCAGGAAUCGCUAGUAAUCGCGGAUCAGCAUGCCGCGGUGAAUCCGUUCCCGGGCCUUGUACACACCGCCCGUCACACCACGAGAGUUGACAACACCCGAAGUCGGUGUCGUAACCUCUUAAGGGACUAGCCGCCG
rnacentral:rRNA from 1 species